rnacentral:rRNA from 1 species
UCUCCAAAAGUUGUCUCAGUUCGGAUUGUUCUCUGCAACUCGAGAGCAUGAAGGCGGAAUCGCUAGUAAUCGCGGAUCAGCAUGCCGCGGUGAAUACGUUCCCAGGCCUUGUACACACCGCCCGUCACACCAUGGGAGUUGGGUUCACCCGAAGGCGUUG